GGGAGACGUACACGUUAUAUAGAAACAUCUGACAUGGACUGUAUAGCUAUCUGGGUCCAUAUUGUAUAGGAAUACACAUACAGUAAGUAGCUAUUAAUCAGAACAUGUGCCAUUCACUGCUCUCACUCAUUCCAGGUACUGGCGAUUCAAUGAGGAGACUCGUUCUGCCGAUACAGGUUACCCCAAACCCAUUACUGUCUGGGCUGGGAUCCCCGACACCCCUAAAGGAGCCUUCCUGAGUACGGACGCAU